AAAAAGAUAAACCAUGGGUUUCCGUGUCCAACUUUGACUGUCCGUUUUAUAUGAAAUUUUUUUAUAAUUCAUAUUUUCAUUAUUGUUAGAUGAUAAAACAUGAUUAACAUUUUAUGUGUGACUUUUCUUUUUAAUUUAUUUUAAAUAAAACGGACGGUCGGACACGGAAACCAGGGUUUGUCUUUUU
rfam:Oryza glaberrima chromosome 5 Oglab05_0012_1, whole genome shotgun sequence.